UACGGAGGGUGCAAACGUUGCUCGGAAUCAUUGGGCGUAAAGCGCACGUAGGCGGCCUGUUAAGUCGGGUGUGAAAGCCCUCAGCUCAACUGAGGAAGUGCGCCCGAAACUGCAGAGCUUGAGUGCCGGAGAGGGUGGCGGAAUUCCCCAAGUAGAGGUGAAAUUCGUAGAUAUGGGGAGGAACACCGGUGGCGAAGGCGGCCACCUGGACGGUAACUGACGCUGAGACGCGAAAGCGUGGGGAGCAAACAGG
rnacentral:rRNA from 1 species